UUUUGUUUAGUUUUUAAAAAAAUAAUUACAAAUAAAAAAAGAAACGAAGAAAGAAUAAAAAAAAAAGCAAAAAAUAGUAAAAGAAAAAAUGAAGAAAAAAAAGGAAAAGGGAAAGACACGAAAAAAGAAGAAAAAAAAAAGGAAAAAGAGAAAAUAAAAAAAUUACAAAAAGAAAAGAAAUGAAAAAAAAAGAAAACGAACAAAAUAGAAAACAAAAAAAAUAAAACAAAAAAGGGAAAAAAAAUUCAAUUGCGGGAAGAGAACGUAAGGAACAGAGAGAAAACACUUUAGGCUGCAUGCACCCGGUCUCGUAAUUUUAUAUCCCCUCAUCCCUUGUUUUUGUGAUUUAUUUGUUUCAUCAAUGUACAUCAAUAUUACAUGCCCAUUU
rnacentral:lncRNA from 1 species